AUGACGAUAAUUGCCAGAUCCUUGGCCCCUUACCUUCCAGAUGCCUUGAUCUUCAGCAUCCUCUCACGGCUCCCUUCCAAGUCAGCCAUCCGAUGCAAGUCCGUGUGCAAGGCCUGGCAUGCCAUGAUAUCAGAUUGCCAUUUUGUCAACCAUCACCUGGAGCUUUCCAAGGCAGCAUGUCAAUCAAUGCUUGUACUACCUCUUUCGUACUGCAGAGCUGCAGCACACGAAGGGCUGGUGUCCUUCUGGAUGGAUUUUUACACUUCUGGUGCUGGUAAUGUAGCAGCAGAGCUGAUAUACAGCGAGCACAUCCCUCAAGGCAUCGGUCGAUGCGCUCAGCCCGUGCAUUGUGACGGCCUGAUUCUUGUUCCCACACUAAGGCAGGAAUAUAUCGUCUGCAAUCCUGCGACCAGGGAGUUUGUGACCUUGCCAAAGGGCAGUCAUAACCACAAUGAGAAGCAUCAUAGGAUUGGAUUUGGUUUCGACCCAAGCAGUGAUCGCUACAAAGUGGCAAGAUUCUUCUAUCAACCAAAAAAAGAUGGGACAUCCGAAACGAUUUGCAGGUUUGAGGUGCUCACGCUGGGGACGCACGAAUGGAGACAAACUGUGGAUCCACCAUACCCACUUAUGGGGGUAACUCCGGCUCAUGUGCGAGGCGCCAUUUACUGGAUGGUUAAUUUGCCAUGUGUUGGAGAGCAUCCAAAUGUGUUCAUCCGCUUCGAUUUAUCUAACGAGGAGUUCACUCUCACUCCAUGUCCUCCGUGUGAGCGCACAGAGCCUACAUAUUUCAUCGAAUUGGAGGGUCAGUUAUGUUGUGCUUGCUUCACCAAAAAACGUUUUAUAGAAACCCGUGAUCUUGUGGAGAUUUGGAUCUGCAAUCAAACUGAGCCUCCAACAUGGACGCGACGAUGCACCAUUCCGAUAUCCAAGGACUGGAUUGUGCCCUACCCUACUGGUGGUUUCAAGCUUCCGAAAGUUAUGUUUUGGGAGAAAGAUUUGCUUCUUGUCUGUGAUUAUAAGGCGUACAGGUUCUGUGUACAAACUGGACAGAUCAAAGAGGUUGCUGGAGCUCUUAAGAACCGGCAGUACUACGAUCCGCGGAACAACAGCUACACCAUGUUUUUGGGGAAGGACGUGGAUUUCUAUAUUGCUAACUAUGCCGAGAGUUUAGUUUGA
rnacentral:rRNA from 1 species